CAACCCUCAGGCCCUGCCUGGUGUUGGGGCGCCACCGCGCGUGGGCCCCAGAAUGCAGCGGCGGGCGCGGCCCGGCCCCGAGCGUAGUAGCACACCUCGCUCAGGGCGCCGGGCGCGCUCCGGCCGUAAAACCCCAACUCUCAA
rnacentral:misc_RNA from 1 species